CCUGGUAGUCCACGCCGUAAACGAUGUCGACUUGGAGGUUGUGCCCUUGAGGCGUGGCUUCCGGAGCUAACGCGUUAAGUCGACCGCCUGGGGAGUACGGCCGCAAGGUUAAAACUCAAAUGAAUUGACGGGGGCCCGCACAAGCGGUGGAGCAUGUGGUUUAAUUCGAUGCAACGCGAAGAACCUUACCUGGUCUUGACAUCCACGGAAGUUUUCAGAGAUGAGAAUGUGCCUUCGGGAACCGUGAGACAGGUGCUGCAUGGCUGUCGUCAGCUCGUGUUGUGAAAUGUUGGGUUAAGUCCCGCAACGAGCGCAACCCUUAUCCUUUGUUGCCAGCGGUCCGGCCGGGAACUCAAAGGAGACUGCCAGUGAUAAACUGGAGGAAGGUGGGGAUGACGUCAAGUCAUCAUGGCCCUUACGACCAGGGCUACACACGUGCUACAAUGGCGCAUACAAAG
rnacentral:rRNA from 1 species